AGAGUUUGAUCCUGGCUCAGGAUGAACGCUGGCGGCGUGCUUAACACAUGCAAGUCGAACGAAGCACUUUAACCUGAUUCUUCGGAUGAAGGUUUUUGUGACUGAGUGGCGGACGGGUGAGUAACGCGUGGGUAACCUGCCUCAUACAGGGGGAUAACAGUUAGAAAUGACUGCUAAUACCGCAUAAGACCACGGAGCCGCAUGGCUCAGUGGGAAAAACUCCGGUGGUAUGAGAUGGACCCGCGUCGAUUAGCUAGUUGGUGGGGUAACGGCCUACCAAGGCGACGAUCAAUAGCCGACCUGAGAGGGUGACCGGCCACAUUGGGACUGAGACACGGCCCAAACUCCUACGGGAGGCAGCAGUAGGGAAUAUUGCACAAUGGGGGAAACCCUGAUGCAGCGACGCCGCGUGAGUGAAGAAGUAUUUCGGUAUGUAAAGCUCUAACAGCAGGGAAGAAAAUGACGGUACCCGACUAAGAAGCCCCGGCUAACUACGUGCCAGCAGCCGCGGUAAUACGUAGGGGGCAAGCGUUAUCCGGAUUUACUGGGUGUAAAGGGAGCGUAGACGGUAAAGCAAGUCUGAAGUGAAAGCCCGGGGCUCAACCCCGGGACUGCUUUGGAAACUGUUUAACUAGAGUGCUGGAGAGGUAAGCGGAAUUCCUAGUGUAGCGGUGAAAUGCGUAGAUAUUAGGAGGAACACCAGUGGCGAAGGCGGCUUACUGGACAGUAACUGACGUUGAGGCUCGAAAGCGUGGGGAGCAAACAGGAUUAGAUACCCUGGUAGUCCACGCCGUAGACGAUGAAUACUAGGUGUUGGGGGACAAAGUCCUUCGGUGCCGUCGCAUACGCAAUAAGUAUUCCACCUGGGGAGUACGUUCGCAAGAAUGAAACUCAAAGGAAUUGACGGGGACCCGCACAAGCGGUGGAGCAUGUGGUUUAAUUCGAAGCAACGCGAAGAACCUUACCAAAUCUUGGCAUCCCUCUGACCGGCGAGUAAUGUCGCUUUUCCUUCGGGACAGAGGAGACAGGUGGUGCAUGGUUGUCGUCAGCUCGUGUCGUGAGAUGUUGGGUUAAGUCCCGCAACGAGCGCAACCCUUAUCCUAAGUAGCCAGCAGUUCGGCUGGGCACUCUUGGGAGACUGCCAGGGAUAACCUGGAGGAAGGUGGGGAUGACGUCAAAUCAUCAUGCCCCUUAUGAUUUGGGCUACACACGUGCUACAAUGGCGUAAACAAAGAGAAGCGAGACCGCGAGGUGGAGCAAAUCUCAAAAAUAACGUCUCAGUUCGGACUGCAGGCUGCAACUCGCCUGCACGAAGCUGGAAUCGCUAGUAAUCGCGAAUCAGAAUGUCGCGGUGAAUACGUUCCCGGGUCUUGUACACACCGCCCGUCACACCAUGGGAGUCAGUAAUGCCCGAAGUCAGUGACCCAACCGAAAGGAGGGAGCUGCCGAAGGCAGGACCGAUAACUGGGGUGAAGUCGUAACAAGGUA
rnacentral:rRNA from 1 species